ACAAAUUCUACUUGACUCAAUUUUACUUCACAGGUAUUUGAGUGGUAAUUCGAUCAAAGAAAUCAAAGUAGAAACAUUCCGAAGUCUUUCCAGUUUAACAUUUCUAUUUUUGAAUGAAAAUGAUAUCGAAAACAUUCAAGUAGGAACUUUCGAUGAUUUGCUCAGUUUAAGAGCUCUGUAAGUUAACUAAGUUUUACUCAUUAUAUU